UCACCAAACCCGGCGGCCAUUUUCCUCCAUCUCCUGGAAUUGACAGAUCACGUGGCCGCGGGCGGUGGGGCGGGGCGGCAGAAGACAUCGCUAAGGCGUUGCAAACGAAGGCCUGCUCAAGUCACUUGGUCGGGAACCCAGAGAUUCCACCUCCCUUCGAUUGUUGGUGUUUCCAGAGUUCCAGCGCAAAGCCCGGUCCCCACCCCGUGUGAUGCUCCUCCGGUACUGCUCCUGUCUGGGGACCUGGCUCCUGCCCCCCAAGCCACCGAGACCGAGACCGGAAUUGGGCACCCUUUUUAGACACCGCUACCUCCCCUUCCCAAUGACAUCCCAUCAGCCUCUUCAUCAACCCCGAUCAGAUGCCGUUCAGAUGAUCUGUCUCAUGCACGUCACACCAUCUGAUGGAGCCGUACUCCUUGCUGGCCUUUUCUAGAAGAUGCCAGAUCGGCCCAUGGAGAAAUGCUCUUCAGUGGUUCCCAGUCUUGGCACAGCAGAACCAUCCGUGCACCUUCUUAAAAACUCAGAGCACCCUUGGGGAUUUAAAAACUACCUCCCCAGCUGAUUCCAAAGACAUGCCAUUCUCAGACUUGGGUUUGAGUCCCACAGUGUCCAAAUCAGUGGUUUCAAUAUGAACAUUCUGGGAUGUGAGGGCGAUCUGGCUGCGACAUCUGUCACCCCAUUGAUCGCCAGGGUUGAUUCAGCUGAUCUGGCUGGCUAGGCGGGUGUCCCCUUCCUCCCUCACUGCUCCAUGUGCGUCCCUCCCGAAGCUGCGCGCUGGGUGGAAGAGGACAGCCAUCCCCGAUAGAGGAGGACCGUUCUUCCGUCAAGGGUAUACGAGUAGCUGCGCUCCCCUGCUAGAACCUCCAAAC